GGAGUUAGCCGGUGCUUCUUCUGCGAGUAACGUCACAGAUGUAAGGUAUUAACUUACACCCUUUCCUCCUCGCUGAAAGUGCUUUACAACCCGAAGGCCUUAUUCACACACGCGGCAUGGCUGCAUCAGGGUUUCCCCCAUUGUGCAAUAUUCCCCACUGCUGCCUCCCGUAGGAGUCUGGGCCGUGUCUCAGUCCCAGUGUGGCUGAUCAUCCUCUCAGACCAGCUAGGGAUCGUCGCCUAGGUGAGCCUUUACCUCACCUACUAGCUAAUCCCACCUGGGCUUAUCCAUCAGCGCAAGGCCCGAAGGUCCCCUGCUUUCCCCCGUAGGGCGUAUGCGGUAUUAGCAGUCGUUUCCAACUGUUAUCCCCCACAAAUGGGCAAAUUCCCAGGCAUUACUCACCCGUCCGCCGCUCGUCAUCUUCAAAAGCAAGCUUUUGAAAUGUUACCGCUCGACUUGCAUGUGUUAGGCCUGCCGCCAGCGUUCAAUCUGAGCCAUAAUCAAACUCUGA
rnacentral:rRNA from 1 species